rnacentral:rRNA from 1 species
AGAGUUUGAUCCUGGCUCAGAUUGAACGCUGGCGGCAGGCUUAACACAUGCAAGUCGAGCGGUAACAGAGAGUAGCUUGCUACUUUGCUGACGAGCGGCGGACGGGUGAGUAAUGCUUGGGAAUAUGCCUUAUGGUGGGGGACAACAGUUGGAAACGACUGCUAAUACCGCAUAACGUCUACGGACCAAAGGGGGGGAUCUUCGGACCUCUCGCCAUUUGAUUAGCCCAAGUGAGAUUAGCUAGUUGGUGAGGUAAAGGCUCACCAAGGCGACGAUCUCUAGCUGGUUUGAGAGGAUGAUCAGCCACACUGGGACUGAGACACGGCCCAGACUCCUACGGGAGGCAGCAGUGGGGAAUAUUGCACAAUGGGCGAAAGCCUGAUGCAGCCAUGCCGCGUGUGUGAAGAAGGCCUUCGGGUUGUAAAGCACUUUCAGUUGUGAGGAAAGGUUAGUAGUUAAUAGCUGCUAGCUGUGACGUUAACAACAGAAGAAGCACCGGCUAACUCCGUGCCAGCAGCCGCGGUAAUACGAGGGGUGCAAGCGUAAUCGGAAUUACUGGGUGUAAAGCGUUCGUAGGCGGUUACUUAAGCAAGAUGUGAAAGCCCAGGGCUCACCUUGGAACUGCAUUUUGAACUGGGUAACUAGAGUACUGUAGAGGGUGGUGGAAUUUCCAGUGUAGCG